UACGUAGGGUGCAAGCGUUGUCCGGAAUUAUUGGGCGUAAAGAGCUCGUAGGCGGUUUGUUGCGUCGGCUGUGAAAUCCCGAGGCUCAACCUCGGGUCUGCAGUCGAUACGAGCAAACUAGAGUGUUGCAGGGGAGACUGGAAUUCCUGGUGUAGCGGUGAAAUGCGCAGAUAUCAGGAGGAACACCGGUGGCGAGGGCGGGUCUCUGGGCCGAUACUGACGCUGAGGAGCGAAAGCGUGGGGAGCGAACAGG
rnacentral:rRNA from 1 species